UACGGGGGGGCAAGCGUUGUUCGGAAUUACUGGGCGUAAAGGGCUCGUAGGCGGCCAACUAAGUCAUACGUGAAAUCCCUCGGCUUAACCGGGGAACUGCGUCUGAUACUGGAUGGCUUGAGAUUGGGAGAGGGAGUGCGGAAUUCCGAGGUGUAGCGGUGAAAUGCGUAGAUAUCUGGAGGAACACCGGUGGCGAAGGCGGCAUCCUGGACCAACACUGACGCUGAGGAGCGAAAAGCCAGGGGAGCAA
rnacentral:rRNA from 1 species